GACUUGGUGGCUGAGUCACAGGGUCUCGCUAAGUUGCUUAGGACCUCACUAAGUUGCUGAGGCUGGCUUUGAACUUGCGAUCCUCCUGCCUCAGCCUCCCGAGCUGCUGGGAUCACAGGCUGGCGCCACCAUAGCCAUCAUGCUUAUCCUGCGCGGCCCCCUGUCUCCCUGUUUUCCUCUCCAUCUUCGUCCCCUCUGCUGACCUCCUAAGUUCUGUUUUAAUUUCACGUAGAAGAGUUGCCUCUUCCUCUGGGAUCUUGGGUGCACGCUGAGCAGCUCCUUGGGGUGCUGAGGCAGGUUCGCUCUUCCAUUGCUGCUUCUUAUGAUCACAAGAUGAGUUCCAGGGCCAACGGGACAACCCCCAUCUUUGUUCACAUCCAGUAGGAAAGAGAGAGAGAGAAUCCAUUCCAGCAAUGGUGAUAGGAAAUUCUUCCUCCGUUCAGUCUGAUUGGCCAGCUUGAGUCAUGUGACUGCCCGAGAUUACUCACUCCUCCUGGGACCUGCCAUGUGCUGAGCUGCUUAAACAGGGGUGCAGGGGCCUGGCACUCAUUGGGAUGACUGUGAGGGCUGAGAGGGGACCCCUUAGUCAUCCUGUUGGGGUUAGCCUGCUCCAAGCCACCUGCACCUGGCUAAGCAAUGGGCAGAUGUCCGAUGAAUCCUGCUGUCACUGGUUCCUCCCUCGACUCACCUUUGAUUUCAUCUGCAGUUGUGCUGCAAAGUUCCAUGCAAGCUCAGACUUGAGCCCCUGUGUCUUCACAUCCCCAUCCUUGGGGAGCUCUGCCCACACACAGGCACACACCAGAGGGGGACAGCAGCUGUUCUCCAGGUGCUGAUCUCUGCCAUCCCAGGUGGGCAACUUGAGGAGUGUUCUAGACCAUUUGGACCUUUCUAGAACCUUCUCCGAGACCAGCAGUAGGCAGCCCUUAGCUACAACAGUGGCCUCACUAACACACUCUCUGCCCUAUUCUUCUUGCCCCUCAUUUCUGCCUUCUGGGGUCCCCCCAUGUAAACACCUUGCACUCAAGACCCAGACUUUCCUAUCAGGGAGCCAAAACUGAGGCAAAGGGGCAGGUGACAUGGGGUCACCGCCUCUGGUUCUGCACUUUGCCUGGCUUAAAACUCAGGUGCGUGAUCUUGGGCCAGCCACCUGUUGUGCCUCGGUUUCCUGAUUGCAAAGUGGACUGCAUGAUGUCACCUCAUCUGAGGGGUCUUGGAGAUAUAAGAAGAGAUGAUGUGAAGUCAAGUCCUUAGGAAAGCGCAAAGCAUCCUGAACAUUUUAAAUGACGAACAGAUCUCGGCGAUCUCCGAGUCUGCACUUCCAGAGUAGUUUUGAGGCGUUAGUCCAGACUCUUCUUUGCAAGUGACAGAAGCCAAAGUGAACCAGCUGAUGGCGACAGGCUGCCCCUUGGCUGUGGGUGAAGCUGCACCUCCAGGAAAAGUGAGUUCAGAGAUUGUUCAGUCUGGGUGAUGCUGGCACCACUCAGGAGAAUUGCAGCUUCUUCCAGGGGACCGUGAAAGGGGAUGGCAUCCUACUCCAGCUGAGCUGCCCUGGGCUGCAGGUAACAGGGCCCCCGUUCAGCCGACAGAACCCCUUAACCACUCAGUUUUGUGAAUAUUAUUAUGACUGAUGAUACGCACAAACCAUGGAUAUAUACUAAUAUUAUAAUUAUAUUCUUACUCUUGGGUAAUUACAUUAUACAUUAUACAAUCAUACGUUAUAUACUACAUUUAAGUUUUCAUAGGCGUCAUCUAGGAUGAGCAAACAAAAUGGUUAAACAAUAAAGCCAC
rnacentral:lncRNA from 1 species